rnacentral:lncRNA from 1 species
AUGAACUCUGAACAGAAAUUUGUCUUGCAACAACUGUUGAAGCAGGUCAAGGGAGCUUAUCAUCAAGAUAACAAUAAGCUGAGUCUCUUCCAGUCUCCGGUUUCUAUUGUCAAGAAGGCUUUUCUCUUGGCCUCAUUGAAUUUUUCAGUUAGUUUCAAAAUAAUUGUAUGUAGAAAGAUGUUUUUAGUUAUCCUUCUGCCGGAAUUACGAUUUUAAGUGUUGAUCAUAAAUACUUUCUCUGUAUUGUUUCAGUAUAUCAUCUAUUUUGUUUCCUCCCAGAGUAAGUGAAACAUAGGUAUGCUCUCACUCACGCACCUCUUAGUCCCAAAUGCAAUUUCUGUUCCUGCCAUCAAAACUAGAGCGCAAGUUUUGAAUUUCAACAACUUUGCAGUUUUGCCAAAAACAAGAAUGACCGUUUUGCUGUUGAUAAAAUGAACUAACAGCCACCUCAUUGAGUAAAUAAAUGUUCAUUCUUAACAAAUUGUCUGAAUUUGUUCAUUUAAUAAACAGCUGACUGUCAUUUUUUGGUUUUCAGCGAAGACUGCAAAAUUGUUGAAAUUCAAAUCUCACGCCUUGGCUCUAAUGACUGGAUCAAAGAGCUACGUUUGGCCAAAGGGGUCGGCAAGGGCAUUCUACCUACCUUUCACUUACCUUGAUUUUCUCCUCUGUUCGUUAUUUUUGUUGAAUGGAAUAUUUCUGCCCAUGUCCAAUUCAAACUCCUUUAAUCACUGAAUCGGAGGCUUUGUCAUCAUUAAAGAUGCUAAUUACCCUAAUGAUCCUAGAAAUACCCUAGAAAUGAGCUUGUUCGUUAAUUUUUAAUCUUUGCAUUUUUUGAAAAGUAGAAAGUACACUUAGUUGACAGGAUUUUCCCGGAUUUUUUUGACAAUAUGAAGCCACAAAAAACAAUUUUAAAGUUGGAUAAUUUGAUCUCUCCGCACAACAUCUUGCCUUUCUUGGCGACGCGCUUUAAAUGAAGCUCAAAUCAUCCAACUUUCAACUCGUUUUUUGUGCCUUAAUAUCUUCCAAAACAUCCGGGAAAAUUCUAUCAACUAAGUGCACUCGACUUUUCAAAAAUGCAAGAAUUAAUAAAAAUUACUGAACAAGUUCUUUGAAUCGUUGCAAUCAUUAAACUAGUCAGGAUAUGAUUUCCUUCUGUUGAAUUCAUUCUUCUCAACUGAUCUCCUAAUACUUUUUUACUUAGUUUUGAAUCGGUCCCAAUUACUUAAUAAUUUUUGAGAGCAUGUGUUGUUCAGUAAAUUUUGACUCUGGGCUUCUAAUCAUUAAUCAUAAUUCCCCAGUUCAAGAAUAUUUAAAGUAUUCCUUUUUUAGCACUUUGAAGGGAUUUGCAAACCAAUCAUGCUGUCUGUAAUUUUCAGUUGAAUCAGGUUCAAUUAAGUAAAAAAUCAGGUACUCAUUUAUUGCACACAAAUUUGCCGGGAGUUUGUUUAUAUUUUUCAAGGAGAUUUGCCCGAGUAGGCAAACAUUCAGAAGAAUAGCAUUAUUGAAUAUAGUACUUAGUCCCUUUGUUCAAAAGCAUCGGCUAAGUUAUCAUUAAUUAAACCAGGUUGCCUUCUUUUUAAAAUGUAUUAAUCAUCCAUUGAGGAAAGAGCCUCCAAAAAGGAGCUGAUUUUGGCCCCUUUUUAGGUAUUCGAUUCG